rnacentral:pre_miRNA from 1 species
UCUCAUGGAUGAGCAGAAAAAGUGGUUUCUUGAAAUAGAGUCUCCUCCUAGUGAAGAUGCUGUGAG